rnacentral:misc_RNA from 1 species
GUUUAAGGAUUCCAAAUCCUAGUGUUACUAGGACUAGUUGAUAUAUUAUAAAUACAUCUUUUAGGUAUUUUAGUGUAGAUAUUUUUUAUAUGAUUGACAAUUUCUUUGAGCUAAUAAAUUGAUAAUGUGUUUCUGUAGAAUGUGUUUCUUUACCUUUUGAGAAUUUGUAUCUCACCCCUUGUUCCCCAUCACUUUAUUGGUUCUACAUCACGUACCUUUUCAUCAAAGUAGGUUGUUUUUAUGUGUUUCU